rnacentral:rRNA from 1 species
GACGAACGCUGGCGGCGUGCCUAAUACAUGCAAGUAGAACGCUGAAGAGAGGAGCUUGCUCUUCUUGGAUGAGUUGCGAACGGGUGAGUAACGCGUAGGUAACCUGCCUGGUAGCGGGGGAUAACUAUUGGAAACGAUAGCUAAUACCGCAUAAAAUUAAUUAUUGCAUGAUAAUUAAUUGAAAGAUGCAAUUGCAUCACUACCAGAUGGACCUGCGUUGUAUUAGCUAGUUGGUGAGGUAACGGCUCACCAAGGCGACGAUACAUAGCCGACCUGAGAGGGUGAUCGGCCACACUGGGACUGAGACACGGCCCAGACUCCUACGGGAGGCAGCAGUAGGGAAUCUUCGGCAAUGGGGGGAACCCUGACCGAGCAACGCCGCGUGAGUGAAGAAGGUUUUCGGAUCGUAAAGCUCUGUUGUAAGAGAAGAACGGGUGUGAGAGUGGAAAGUUCACACUGUGACGGUAUCUUACCAGAAAGGGACGGCUAACUACGUGCCAGCAGCCGCGGUAAUACGUAGGUCCCGAGCGUUGUCCGGAUUUAUUGGGCGUAAAGCGAGCGCAGGCGGUUAGAUAAGUCUGAAGUUAAAGGCUGUGGCUUAACCAUAGUAUGCUUUGGAAACUGUUUAACUUGAGUGCAGAAUGGGAGAGUGGAAUUCCAUGUGUAGCGGUGAAAUGCGUAGAUAUAUGGAGGAACACCGGUGGCGAAUCGGCUCUCUGGUCUGUAACUGACGCUGAUGCUCGAAGCGUGGGGAGCAAACAUGAUUAAUAUACCCUAUUGUCCAAGGUCGAAUUCCACAGUGUAUAUCAUGCUUGUCGAUCCGUCGACCUCGAGGGGGGGACUAAAUAUCCCAGUUUUGUUCCUGUUAUUAUGUUUAUUAACCCUUCCCUUCUCUCUACCUGUGCUGUUGACAUUGUGUGAACUGUGUUGUGUGUGUUUCCUGUGGCUGUUGUGUUGCGCCUGUACUUUGUAUAUCUUAUAGCUAUCUUCUUUUUCUCUUUUUGCUGUUCUUGUCUUAGCUAUCCUUUGCCUGUUGAUUAUGUUGUGUGCACCUAUAGUGCUCAUAGUGCAGUAGACCUACUGGUGAUGUAGUUGUAGCUAGUAGUUGUGUCUGUGUUGCUGCUUUUGUAGUGGUAUGCUGAUGUCCUA